UUAUGCGUAAAACUAAGUGUGCAUUUGUAGGCGGUGUCGAAAUGGGUCUAUAGCUCUGCCUGAACUGUCGUCCAAUUGGUUUACAAGUCCGGCUGAAGUGACCGGCCAUCAAAAACUGUACAGCGUGACUGAUUCCGAGACGGCCCUCAACACUCGCACAGUCGUGUCGAGAGGAUCGGUGUCUUUGCAGAUUACAUGGAAUUGAGCACCCGGGCCAGACUGACACUUUCCGGAGCCUGCCCGAGACGGAACUCGAGCCGAGGAAUCAUAGGUCCAGGCGGUGUCGAAAUGGGUCUAUAGCUCUGCCUGAACUGUCGUCCAAUUGGUUUACAAGUCCGGCUGAAGUGACCGGCCAUCAAAAACUGUACAGCGUGACUGAUUCCGAGACGGCCCUCAACACUCGCACAGUCGUGUCGAGAGGAUCGGUGUCUUUGCAGAUUACACGGAAUUGAGCACCCGGGCCAGACUGACACUUUCCGGAGCCUGCCCGAGACGGAACUCGAGCCGAGGAAUCAUAGGUCCAGGCGGUGUCGAAAUGGGUCUAUAGCUCUGCCUGAACUGUCGUCCAAUUGGUUUACAAGUCCGGCUGAAGUGACCGGCCAUCAAAAACUGUACAGCGUGACUGAUUCCGAGACGGCCCUCAACACUCGCACAGUCGUGUCGAGAGGAUCGGUGUCUUUGCAGAUUACACGGAAUUGAGCACCCGGGCCAGACUGACACUUUCCGGAGCCUGCCCGAGACGGAACUCGAGCCGAGGAAUCAUAGGUCCAGGUGUGACAAAAGACUUAAAGCUCAUGUCUGACGAUGACUUUUUUUAGUCAUGAAGUCAAGUGUGUUGUUUUUCCAUGCAAGCGAGCCCUUUUGUUGGGUCAAAUGACAUCAGGAUUGCUGCUUCUACAUGGAUUUUACCUAAAAUGUGCAAAAAAAAAAAUAAAAAAAGUUUGUUCGAAUCAUGUUCAAAACCUGCUUUGAUGCACAAAUAUUGCCAUUGAUGAUUUUUUUCACUUAUUAAGCCAUAUGUAAGAUCAGCUUUGCCUAUUAGAACCGAAAGACAUGCCUUGUAUGGAGUCUAAGUGCUGCAUGUAUGAUGUAACCAAACUUGGCUU